rnacentral:rRNA from 1 species
GUGCCAGCAGCCGCGGUAAUACGUAGGUUGCGAGCGUUGUCCGGAUUUACUGGGCGUAAAGCGCGCGCAGGCGGAUUCGAAAGUCCACGGUGAAAGCUCCCGGCUCAACUGGGAGAGGCCCGUGGAAACUCCGGAUCUUGAAGGCAGGAGAGGCAAAUGGAAUUUCCGGUGUAGCGGUAAAAUGCGUAGAUACCGGAAGGAACACCAGUGGCGAAGGCGAUUUGCUGGCCUGUUCUUGACGCUCAGGCGCGAAAGCUAGGGGAGCGACCGGGAUUAGAUACCCUCGUAGUCC